UACGUAGGGUGCAAGCGUUGUCCGGAUUUAUUGGGCGUAAAGAGCUCGUAGGUGGUUUGUUACGUCUGCUGUGAAAACCUAGGGCUUAACCCUGGGCCUGCAGUGGAUACGGGCAGACUAGAGGUAGGUAGGGGAGAAUGGAAUUCCCGGUGUAGCGGUGAAAUGCGCAGAUAUCGGGAGGAACACCGGUGGCGAAGGCGGUUCUCUGGGCCUUACCUGACACUGAGGAGCGAAAGCGUGGGGAGCGAACAGG
rnacentral:rRNA from 1 species